ACUGACCGUUAAGGCGCGAAAACGUGGGGAACCAACCGGAUUAAAUUCCCUGGUAGUUCCCCCCGUUAACGAAGGUCGAUUAGAAGUUUGUUCCCUAGAGCAGUGACUUUGGAAGUUAACGCGUUAAUCCGUCCGCCUGGGGAGUCCGGCCCCAAGGUUAAAACUCAAAGGAAUUGACGGGGGCCCGCCCAAGCGGUGGACCAUGUGGUUUAAUUCGAUGCAACGCGAAGACCCUUACCUGUUCUUGCAAUCCAGAGACUUUACAAGAGAUACUUGGGUCCUUUCGGGACUUUUAAGCAAGGUGGUCAAUGCCGGUCUCCAGUCCGUGUUGGAAAAUGUGGGGUAAAUUCCCGCACGAACCCCAACCUUUUUCCUUGGUUGCAAUCGAUUCGGUCGGGAACUCAAAGGAGACUGCCGGUGAUAAACCGGAGGAAGGUGGGGAUGACGUCAAGUCAUCAUGGCCCUUACGAGUAGGGCUACACACGUGCUCCAAUGGCGUAUACAAAGAGAAGCGACCCCGCGAGAGCAAGCGGAACUCAUAAAGUACGUCGUAGUCCGGAUUGGAGUCUGCAACUCGACUCCAUGAAGUCGGAAUCGCUAGUAAUCGUAGAUCAGAAUGCUCCGGUGAAUACGUUCCCGGCCCUUGUACACCCGCCCGUCACCCAUGGGAGUGGGUUGCAAAAGAAGUAGGUAGCUUAACCUUCGGGAGGGCGCUACCAU
rnacentral:rRNA from 1 species